rnacentral:rRNA from 1 species
UUGUCCCUAUUAUUAAAAAUGUAAAUAAAAAAAAAUUAAGAUAGUAAUAGUUAUGUUCUUGAAACUUAAAAAAUUUGGCGGUAUUUUAGUCUAUUCAGAGGAACCUGUUUUAUAAACGAUAAUCCACGAUGGACCUAACUUAAAUUUGUAUUCAGUUUAUAUAUCGUCGUUAUUAGAAUAUUUUAAAAGAAUAAUAAUUUUCAUAAUUUUAAAAUAAAAAAUAUAUCAGAUCAAGGUGUAGCUUAUAUUUAAGUAAAAAUGGGUUACAAUAAAUUUAUUUAUACGAAUAUAAAUGUGAAAUGUUUAUUGAAGGAGGAUUUGAUAGUAAAAUUAUAAAGAUUAAUAAUUUGAUUUUAGCUCUAAAAUAUGUACAUAUCGCCCGYCGCUCUUAUUAAUAAGGUAAGAUAAGUCGUAACAUAGUAGAUGUACUGGAAAGUGUAUCUAGAAUGCAAUUUAAAGCUUUUUUAGUAAAGUAUUUCAUUUACAUUGAAAUGAUUAUUGUGCAAAUCAAUAUAAAUUGAUUGAAUUUUAUUUAUUAAUUUUUUUUUGUUUUAAUUAUAAUUUAUUAAAAAUAAUUAUAAAAAGUUUUGUUUUAGUAUUUUAUAAAGAAAAAAUAAAUUUUAUUAUAGUUUAAUAGUAUUGUGAAAGAAAAUUGAAAUAA